rnacentral:rRNA from 1 species
GUGGAUUAGAUACCCUAGUAGUCCACACUGUAAACGAUGAUAACUAGCUGUCGGCGAUAGACCGUCGGUGGCCAAGCGAAAGCGAUAAGUUAUCCACCUGGGGAGUACGACCGCAAGGUUGAAACUCAAAGGAAUUGACGGGGGCCCGCACAAGCGGAGGAACAUGUGGUUUAAUUCGAUGAUACGCGAGGAACCUUACCCGGGCUCGAACGGUGCAGUAAUAUGGUAGAGAUAUCAUAGCUAGCAAUAGACUGUAUCGAGGUGCUGCAUGGUUGUCGCCAGCU